UCACAACCUCUCAACCACAAGUUCUCAAGCUUCAAGGCUAAAAAUGUUGAAAACACCUAAGAGACAUUUGUGUGAGCAAAUGGAAAGCAGGUAGUGUAUUCUGGAUGAAACAGCAGCAUAUCUAGUCCUUUGAAAAGCACUAUGAAACUUAACCCCUGGCAGUGAAGCAAUGGCUCCAAACAAGAGAGGUUGCACCAAAGCAAACUGGAGUAAAGAUGCCAGUAUUUGGUGCUUCAGAAAGAAACUUUAGGAUUUGAGUUAGGAAUGAGACAAAGAUGGAGGAAUUACGUCGUUCUUUUGUCUCAAAGAUUGCCAGCAAGAAUGUCAAGCUUCAUCAGAACAGUGUUGCUAAACACAUUCAAAAUACUGUACUAGUACAACCAGGUACAUAUGUAUUAACAACACUUACAAGAAAGAAGACCCCUGGAAUGAGGCACCACAAUCCACAAAGCUACCGCUUGUCUUUCUAUUUUUUUUUUCAAGAUGCAUUGAUCUCCCUGCACCACCUCUUCCCCACCCCCACAUUCCUCCAGAGUCAUGACUGAUUGUGUGAUAUAUUAAAUGCUCCUGGAAAUGGUGUCCAGGAGACGGUCCAGGUGAGGCAGCAGGAACUUCCUGGUGUGGCAGCACAGCAGAAGGCUAAACCCAGACCCUGCAAGGGCAGUAGCAAGACAGAACUGCUUACAGCAUAGGAACUAUAUAACUGUCUGUAAACAAUAACAUGCUUCCAUAUCACAAGCCUCAUCAAGGUAAUACAGACUGCGUGGAACAGCUUAUUCAGCCUUAGCCAGAUCAGGAGCUCUUCAGCCAAGUGUUACUGCCUCACCUGUGGCUGAGAGGAUUAACACUGGACUCUACACCUGACGCUUGCAGCUUCAGGAAGAUCCUUGCAGUCGGGAGUCAGUGUCUGUUUCCUUUUCUUCCAGUAAAGAAAAAUCAGGUUCUGAUGCACACCUCAAGUUUGGGGGGCUGACUUUGGAGGGAAAGCUGCAUGUGCUGUAUGAGUAAAUACAGUAUGCCUUGCACCAUCACAGUGGAAGCCUGAUCUGUGUCUUAGCUUCUAGGCUUAACUGAAAACCAUUCCAAAAUAUGCAUGAAAGAAGGAAUAAAAAUUGCAAAAACAGGCA
rnacentral:lncRNA from 1 species